rnacentral:rRNA from 1 species
UACGUAGGUGGCAAGCAUUGUCCGGAUUUACUGGGCGUAAAGGGCGUGCAGGCGGUUUGUUAAGUGCAGGGUGAAAGCUCCCGGCUCAACUGGGAGAGGUCCUUGCAUACUGGCAGACUUGAGGGAGGCAGAGGAAAGUGGAAUUCCCGGUGUAGUGGUGAUAUGCGUAGAUAUCGGGAGGAACACCGGUGGCGAAGGCGGAUCUCUGGGCCUUACCUGACGCUGAGGCGCGAAAGCUAGGGGAGCGAACAGG